UAGCACACAAGUAUUAAAGGUCCCGCCUGCCCAGUGAAACUUUUUAACGGCCGCGGUAUUCUAACCGUGCAAAGGUAGCGUAAUCACUUGUCUUCUAAAUAAAGACCAGUAUGAACGGCUAAAUGAGGGUAACCCUGUCUCCUGCGACUAAUCAGUGAAACUGAUCUCCCCGUCAAAAAGCUGGGAUAUAAACAUAAGACGAGAAGACCCUGUGGAGCUUAAAACCCCUUGCUACCAGACACCAGUCUCACCUAGCAAAAGGUUUUAAGUUGGGGCGACUUCGGAACAAAACAAAACUUCCAAGCACAGAACCACUCCUUCUAACCAAGGCAAACAAGCCAAAGCAAAAAUCGACCCAGUCACACUGACCAACGAACCAAGUUACCCCAGGGAUAACAGCGCCAUCUUCUUCAAGAGUUCAUAUCGACAAGAAGGUUUACGACCUCGAUGUUGGAUCAGGGCCCCCCAGUGGUGCAGCCGCUAUUAAAGGUUCGUUUGUUCAACGAUUAACAGCC
rnacentral:rRNA from 1 species